rnacentral:lncRNA from 10 species
UACCCGGAUGGCAUCCCCUUCAGGAUGUGGAGCUGGCCUGCACUGACUCCUGCAAACAGUUCCUAAAGCAGGUGUCAGGGUCGCUUGCCCUUUAAGAGGGCUCUUAGCUGCCCGAGUGGAUGAGAAACGUGCAGAACUAUGGGAGGAUAGGAGUGUGAUGGGUUUUAAGCAUGAGCCAAGGAAGGCAUGAAUGAGCUGUACCUCACCCAGCAUCCGAUGGCAGAGAUCAGUAAACUUCAAGAUGUGCUUCAUCUUCAAUCCUAGUCUAACACCAGUCUUCCUGCAGACAGUUCCGAGAGCAGGUCUCGAUGUCACUUGCCCUUUAAGAGGGCUCUCAGCUGCUCGAGUGGAUGAGGAUCAAUGUGUUAAGAUUGAUAUUAGACUAGGAAAAAAAUCUUAGUUAACUUUAAUUUCCAUUUCUUCUGCUUCUUUGCUGCCCCUCCUUUCCCUUCCCUUCAGGGUUUACUGUGGUUCUCACUGGUCUGUUUAUGUAGCCAUCCAGAAGAGAUGAGAGCAUUUUGGGGACUGAAAGCUUCAAUAGCCAACUUACUGCCCUCUGUGGUUAGUGAGGAGGGCAGUCUGCAUGUUCAGCUAGCUAGUUAUUUGCAUGUGAAGUCCCUGGAGGCUUACAAACUGUUGAGAGGUUCUGCGAGGCAUACAAACAAACAGACCAAAAGGCUGGAAACUCUGCUUGGAGCUCUGCAGCAUUCCGGUGUAUGAAAGGUUCCGAGAAGUCUCAACCCAGCAUUUCCAAACUUCUUUGAGCCUAAAAGUCGUUUGUCUCAUACCUAGUCCCAGACCCCCACAAAACAUGUUUUGCAGAACUUCUGCCAACUUUGGGAUAGCUUACCCCCUUCCUAUUCGGGAAAGGUUUUAUUGCUUGUAGACCCCUCAGAAGGCAGGGUAGGGUGUACGUGGGCUGUUCUCCCCAUCUCAGCCUGGGUCAUGAACAAACGGGCAGUUGUUUGGCCUGAAUCUCGGGGCAAGUUGGGGAGAGCACAUAGAAAGACUCUGUGAGUGAUUUGGGGAGUGGGAUAGCUUUGACCUUGGAGAGAGGAGAGCCAUUGGUUUUCAGCCUAAGCCAGCUCUUUUAUGUUUUGCUUCUGGGACUUGUCCCUGGAAAUGUGUGAGCUUCUGGCCUCUAUUCUGAUUUUCUUGUGCCUCAUGAGUUACAUACGACGUCCUGCGCUUCAUAUUUUGUGGUGUCUCUCCUGAUACUAUGAAGGUGGUUUGUAAUUGACAUGGCUUUGACCCUAAUAUUACUAAGGUUGGGACCACCCUUUUAAAGGGAGGAUAAACAAGUUUCAUCUUGUGGGUCAACUUCUAAUAUUUGAUGGUGGCUACACUGUGACAAGAAAGGUUUUUGAGCUUGUUGGGGUCAGUGGAUGGGCACAAGGGCACCCAGUGGUGGUGCCCGGGCCAGGUUUUUGUUACUUGUCUUUUUAAGUUGAAAAUUCACCCUACUGUGCAUGAAAAUGGAACUGAAAAUGGAAGAGACCAUGCCUGGGCAACAUGGCAAAACCCCAUCUCUACAAAAAAAUUACAAAAGAUUAGCCAGGGAUGGUGGGGCAUGCAGUAGUCCCAGCUGCUUAGGAGGCUGAGGUGGGAGAAUCACCUGAGCCUGGGAGGUUGAGGCUGCAGUGAGCUAUGACCACACCACUGCACUCUAACCUGGGUGACGGAGUGAGACCCUGUCUCAAAAGAAUAAAAUGUUUUUUAACUCAGAUGGGCAGAGUUUGGGCUGUGCUUAUGCAGUGGCCAUUUGAACCGCACAGUCACGAAUGUGGGGUUUUAAACUAGAGUGAUGAAGGCACAGGUGCUUGCAGGCUGCCAUUUUGAGAGGGAAACAGCCACACAUGUCAUCAUGUUAAACUUUCAGUGUUUCAAGCUAUUCUGCUUGAAUUUUGAAGACACCUGGAUCUUUUUUUUUUUUUAACAUUUCAAAAUAAGCAUGGCAGGCUUCUAUUGAGGUUUGGACUUCUCUCAUUUCUAAAGAAUUAGAGUUGUAACUUCAUAUUAGUUGUAAGUUUGGGGUUUGGUCCUCACCCAAGUUGGAAAGCUGUUUGCUUAAGACAUAGAUGUAUUAUAAUAAUAGAAGGGAGGGAGUAGAAAGCUGAUGAACCCUUGUUACUUAUAGCAAACUUCCUGCUGUUUUAAAUGCACAGAGAUUAUUUUAUCAACUGUGGUUAGCACGCAAUUGGUAUUUUUAUUGUUCUGCCAUUUUAUUGAGGCUAUCAAGUGGGACUUCAGACCUGGCUCUGAGCAGGACCACACGUGUGUAUUUAUAUUGAGUGCCCUCACUCAUGAUAAGGUGACUUCAUGGAGACCCAGAAACUCACCCUAAGGGGUGUUCACCUUUGAGGUGGGCAUCCAGAUGCUGAGGGGAAGUGGGGUCCAUCCUCUGAGGUCCAGGGGCCUACUUUGUGAGCUCAGUUGUGUUCACCUGUGGUUCAGUGUACCUCGGCCCCUAAGCCAAGUGAUCGUUCAGUGACUUGCAGCAAUGUGGGAAGUGAGGGGACCCCUGCCACACCCCCCACCACCCCCUGUAGAGUCACUGACCUUCAUCCUUCACCCUGGUCCUCCAUGGUGCAGCAGCAUCUCAUGGGCCUUGUGGCUGUCAGAGCCCGUGGUUGGAACCCCGUCCACUGGUCCCAAACCUGGAGGGGCAGCUGCAGAUGAGGUUUAGACCUCCUGGUGUCUCCGUGGAUUCUGAGUGCCCAGGAGGGGAGGGGAGGGGGUGGCAUCCUGGCCUCUAGGAUAAAUGCCUGGAGUAUAGGGCAGCGCCACGGGCACUUGGAGACCCUGUCCUGCGCAUCUGCCAAGCCUGGCAGUUUUUAGAGUUUUUUGAAAUGUUUUGAUACUUUUUGAUACAAUUUGCUAAUAACUGUUUUGUAGAAUGCCUGCCGGGGUUUUCCACCUCAUCCCUUUCCUCCGGCCCCUUGAUUUGUGCUGGACAACAAAUGGCAGCACCAGGACCUCGCCUCAUGUGGCUUUGUCUUGGAUCUUGCCCUUCUCCAUCGCUGAUGUGAUACAGCUCUAGAAUUUCGUGAAGUUGCAUGCAAAGUUGCAUGCAGCCCGUGGGUAUGACUGUCUCAGGCCCCCAGCUCAUUUGCCAAGAGGAAACCUUAACCCCCCUGAGAGGGUCUGCGUUUCUUCUAGAGCUCCUACCUCAGUGGUGUGCACAGAGUUGGAGACACCUGAGGGCUGGUCCACGUCUCACCUUUGCCAUACGGGUCAUUUCUUGAUCAAAUAUAUGACUGGGGUCCUGGUUUACUCCCGCCCACCCUUUCUUUUAAAGUAUUCUUAACAUGAAAUCCACAAAAGCGGAAACAAUGAACCAUUCUUGCACUUUACAGAAUCAUUGUCCUUAGCUUUAGAGGUUGUUAAUUUCUUGUUUUUAACAUGAACAGAAUGUGUGGUUCUGAAGGUGUGUGGGGGUCUCAAGAAAUUGUCCUUUGGGGCCGGGCGCAGUGGCUCACGCCUGUACUCCCAGCACUCUGGGAGGCCAAGGGGGACGGAUCACCUGAGGUCAAGAGUUUGAGACCACCCUGACCAACAUGGUGAAACCCCGUCUCUACUAAAAUACAAAAAUUAGGCAGUCGUGGUCGCCUGUAAUCUCAGCUCUUCCGGAGGCUGAGGCAGGAGAAUCGCUUGAACCCAGGAGGCAGAGGUUGCAGUGAGCCGAGGUUGCGCCACUGCACUCCAGCCUGGGUGACCGAGUAAGACUGUCUC